UACAGAGGUCUCAAGCGUUGUUCGGAUUCAUUGGGCGUAAAGGGUGCGUAGGUGGCGCGGUAAGUCGGGUGUGAAAUCUCGGAGCUUAACUCCGAAAUUGCAUUCGAUACUGCCGUGCUCGAGGACUGGAGAGGAGACUGGAAUUCAUGGUGUAGCAGUGAAAUGCGUAGAGAUCAUGAGGAGACCAGUGGCGAAGGCGGGUCACUGGACAGUUCCUGACGUGAGGCACGAAGGUCAGGGGAGCAAACGGG
rnacentral:rRNA from 1 species